UGCCCAGCAACUCCUAUCCCUACCUCCUCGCGGUACUGGCCGGGGUACGAAUAACCUUGGCGAAGAUCGGGUAACCAGCCCCCAGUGGUAACUUUGGUCGUAUGCUGACAGGGAAGG
rnacentral:ribozyme from 1 species